AAAGAAUUAGUUAAAUUUAUUAAAUAACAUAAAUAUGUCAAAUUUAAAUUAUUACCACAAAGUAAUAUUCUUUU
rnacentral:tRNA from 1 species